ensembl:lncRNA
AUGACUGAAUCUCCCAGAAAGGCGAUUAUGCAGCCUCCGCUUAUCACUGCUUUCUUGCCUAGAUGUCUGAUGACUUCAGCCAAGGACACCACAGAGAGGAAGGCUCAAUUUCGAAGAGUCUUGAUGAGGGUCACGGCAGGAAGAAUGGAUUGGGAAAUGAGACAGAAUGCAGAAAGUGAAAUGAAAGGAGGAGUGAGGAUAAAGUGUGCUAACCCUGACAGAGAAGCACCAUGGACACAAGAGCAAGAGUCAUGGUGCAUGGAUGUAAUGGAAAAUCAUCUGCAAGAAGCAAUGGACAUAAUGAAUUCAGAAAAGCAUCUACAGAUACAAAGUGAAGUGAUUGGAGACUCUGACCUUGUGAGUUCUCCAUUUUACAGAUGAGGAAACUGAGGUACAGAGAACUGCAGUGGCUUUUCUGAGGUCAUGUAACUAGAGUCAGAGAAGAUAUUUGAACUUGCCACUCAUUACCAGAAUGAUUGUAGCAACCUCCUGCUAUGUCUUCCUGCCUCCAGGUCCAGGGCUCUAUCUACUGUGUCAUCUAGCUGCCUCUAACCUCAUCAGUGGUGUAGGAGUCCAAUAAGGUAAGGCAGGUAAAGCUUUUGACUAAUCUUAUGAUGAGUGGGUUUCCUCCUAGUGGAAUGGAUGCCCCUUGAGGGCAAGGACUACUUUUCAUCUUUUGCCUUCACACCUGAGAAGACAAUGGCCUUGGCCAAUUGGCCAUUGGCCUUAAAGGUGGUAAACCCUUGAUGGGGCUCUUCCAAUCACCUCUAAUUCCCUGAGCUUUCUCUUUAUCACAUCUUAGUAUGAUUAUUUGUAAUAAUCAUAUUUUAUUUCUAUAUUUAUAAAUUUUAUAAAUUUAUGUACAAAAAUGCAAAUUGUCUCUGCUCUAGAAUUGUCCCCUCCUUACUCAUAACCCAUCCUGCCCCUUUCCUGUAAGCUCCUCCCCAUCCAAUUUGGCUAGAAACUUUUAUGCUCCACGAAACUUUGUUAAAUGGGGCAGGGCACAUGGGAAAGCCUAAGUGAGACCUGCUCCUCCCUGUAGAACCACUGGUGCUCCUGGGCCUCCCUGUGUGGGACCACCCAGGAAGUACAGAGAGUCUAAGGGGGUUAGCAGGUCUCACCCUGGACCAUCCACUUCCUUUCUCUUUCUGCCAUGGACUAAGGUCAUCUCACUCAUUACCUGAACUCCUAUGCUGGCUGGGUCCCAGGAGGAUCUUGGUCCUUCUAGACAUUCAAUCUUUUCUUUCAAUCUUUUCUUUCAAUCUCUCUGGAGAUUGUAGUCCAGACAUAUCCUUGCCCUCCAGCCCCACCCCCCAUGCCUGUGUUCUUCUCAAGCUCUGCCACAAGCUCUCUUUGGGGUGGGGGUGAAAAUUCACCGGCUAAAAUUCACUGGUCCUUCAGCCAGCAUUAUGCAUUUCAUUAUGCAUCUGCCAGGUGUCAGGCCCUGAGCUAAAUGCUGUGGCUACAAAGGGAGACAAAAGGCAGUCUCUGCUCUCAUGGAGAUCAGAGUUGAAGGAUGGAGACAACACACAAACAACUAUGGAUAAAUGAGACAGGAUAGAUUGGGUGUUGUCUUGGAGGGAAGACCCUAAGAAUAAAGACUGGGAAAGGCUCCCA